rnacentral:rRNA from 1 species
AACGAACGCUGGCGGCAGGCCUAACACAUGCAAGUCGAGCGAGGUAGCAAUACCUAGCGGCGGACGGGUGAGUAACGCGUGGGAACGUACCCUUUGCUACGGAAUAGCCCCGGGAAACUGGGAGUAAUACCGUAUGUGCCCUUCGGGGAAAGAUUUAUCGGCAAAGGAUCGGCCCGCGUUGGAUUAGGUAGUUGGUGGGGUAAUGGCCUACCAAGCCGACGAUCCAUAGCUGGUUUGAGAGGAUGAUCAGCCACACUGGGACUGAGACACGGCCCAGACUCCUACGGGAGGCAGCAGUGGGGAAUCUUAGACAAUGGGCGCAAGCCUGACCUAGCCAUGCCGCGUGAGUGAUGAAGGCCUUAGGGUUGUAAAGCUCUUUCAGAUGGGAAGAUAAUGACGGUACCAUCAGAAGAAGCCCGGCUAACUCCGUG